GACGAACGCUGGCGGCAUGCCUUACACAUGCAAGUCGAACGGUAACGGGCCUUCGGGUGCCGACGAGUGGCGAACGGGUGAGUAAUGUAUCGGAACGUACCAUUGGGUGGGGGAUAACGUAGCGAAAGUUACGCUAAUACCGCAUAUUCUCUCCGGAGGAAAGCAGGGGACCGCAAGGCCUUGCGCUCUUUGAGCGGCUGAUAUCAGAUUAGCUAGUUGGUGGGGUAAAAGCUCACCAAGGCGACGAUCUGUAGCGGGUCUGAGAGGAUGAUCCGCCACACUGGAACUGAGACACGGUCCAGACUCCUACGGGAGGCAGCAGUGGGGAAUUUUGGACAAUGGGCGAAAGCCUGAUCCAGCCAUGCCGCGUGUGUGAAGAAGGUCUUCGGAUUGUAAAGCACUUUAAGUUGGGAGGAAGGGCAGUAAGCUAAUACCUUGCUGUUUUGACGUUACCGACAGAAUAAGCACCGGCUAACUCUGUGCCAGCAGCCGCCGUAAGAC
rnacentral:rRNA from 1 species